AAAAAAAAAUGAGCGGGUGAUAUGCCUCGGCGUGAUAGCUGUUGCGGUGACGUCCAUGACGUCGAUCGGUGGUGCUGCCAGCGCUUUUACCUUGAUCCCCUGAUGUAUGUAUGUGUGUGUAUACAUACACACAUAUGCGUACGUAUGUAUGUCUAGUACGAUGAUGAUAGUGACGUUAUACGUAGAACAUAGCGGGGUAGGGACAUGGCUCACGGUGACGUUUCUACGAAGGUGGCGCCGGCAGUCAUGCUGAUGGUGGGGUAGUUGUAAUGAUGGUGGCGGUGGUUGGCGAUGGUGAUGAUGCUGAUGGUGGUGGUAGGUAAAGGGUGGCCUCUCUUGUACAAUCGCCGGCUGGUAUUAGAGUACUCUCUCAGUGCGCGCGUAUCUGUCGCGCGUCGUGCCGAAGCUCCUCCUCGUCUCUUCCGUGACUUUGGUGGUAGCCGGUGACAUAUAUACAUAUACAAACGCGUCGGCCAACGGGGGAGUAAUCGUGGGCUCGCGCAAUCGCGAGCGUAUAUGUGUGUGUAUACAUGUGGGGUGGCUGGCCCGUGUUCGACUGCGCGAACGAUAGAGGGAUUGAGAGAGAGAGAGGGAAAAAGACAUAGAGAGGGUGAGUAGACGCGAGGGUGGCGAACGCCGGUGGCGGUAACGACGGCGGUGUCGGUGGCGGCGUCAGUGCACGGAAGUGGCUGUGCUCCGGUAGUGGACGGUGGAUAGUGUAGUGCGGUUGGUCGGUUGGAUCGGUUAGUCGGUCGGUCGAUGGGUCAGUAGAUCGGUCGCGGGGGGUUGAUUUGCCGUUCGUCUCGCGUCGCCGUCGCGUCUCAUUUGGAAUCGAGUUGAGCCACGUCGGGCAUCGUCCACGAGGCGCGAGCGGCGAGACGACGACGACGACGGAACCGGAAAAGGGAGAGAAGGAGAGAGAGGAAGAAAGAAGCGAGAGAAUGAAAUCGAUAAGAAGGGACCUUAGGCGCUGGUUUCGCAAAACGGGAACGCCGGUGCGCGACGCAUAGAAAGAGAGAAGACGAGACAGAGGACAAUAUAUAUAUAUACAUAUAUAUUCUCCUGUGAAAGAGUGUGAGUGUGCGGUGCGCCGACGACGAACGCACGCGACGUACGGAAACGACAUACGCGCGUGUAGUACGCACGCAGGCGCGGUGCCUCGUACACGAGGGUGGAACGAGAUCCGCGAGAAAGGGAACGUAAUCGGCUCGGUUCGUCGACUUGCUUCGCUCGCGAAAGGGCGGUUCUUGGAUUCGGAGCGCCGUGACCGGAGGCCGAGGGAGAGAGCGAGAGAGACCGGAAGAGGGUACAAGAGAGGAUACGCGAGAGAGGGCUCGUUCGUUCGUUCGUUUGCAUUGCGUCGGCUCAGGAAAACAGGUAGACGGAGGAAGAGGGAAUCGACUGCCUCUCUUUCUCUCUCUCUCCCCCUCGAUCUCUAUUCGCCCUCGCUCGAUGGGCUACGCCAUCGAAAGAAGGUCAAAGAUCGAUCCUCGGGUCGACGAGGGUCGUGACCUCGUCGUACGCCGCCGCCGAGUACGAAGUGAUCCACGCGCGUAGUAGUACUAUUCGCUAGUAGUAGUACGCCGGUCAGAAACGCGGAAGUUGUGUACUCGUUGAGGAGAGGAGGUGAAAAAGAGGUGGUGGCGGUGGCGUGGGUGGAGAGAAGAUCGAUCGGGCGGAGGAAUCAUCGUCGCGACGCGAAGAUGAGGUCGAUCGACCAGCAAAGAAGAGACCGUACUCACGGCCUUCGUUGACAUCGGCGAUACGUGCGGCCGAUUUUCGACGAGAAAAAAAGACGUGUCUCGCGACGUGAAUAAAGACGAGGACUGAGGACCGAUCACGUCCACCUCGUCAAUGCUCGUCGUUCGCGAACGCACUAUCGCAUGUAGAAUAGAAACAUCCUCGCGUGUCACCCCGGGACACAUCAUUGUCGUAUCCACGUCUUGGCGUCGAAGAUCACGAAGAAGACGCCGAGGAACCAAAAACGCAUCGACGUCGUCAUCGGCCAUAACCGGAUGCUGCAGCACAAAGCUGGAAACGAAGCGAAGAUCGAGUCUUCCGAAAGGAGGCGAUCGUCGAAAUUGGAGCCGCACGUUUUCAUUCUCCGAUUAUUACCCUAACUGCAUCCUCGGAUAGACAGACGUCCCAUGGAACUGGGCUCAUUGACCAGAUCACUCAUUGCGGGCUGAUAUGAAUGUGAAAACGCGCGAGAAAGACGAGGGAAAUGAACGCAAAGCGUGACGAAGAGAGCACGAGAUAUUAGGGGGUCCAUUAAUAAUCGGAUUCUCUCGGGGAAAUUGCCGAGGAAGAAAAAAAAAAGAGACGGAUAAGGUAUAAUUUAAUCGCACAAAGCGAUCGCGGAUAACGGAAGGAAAGAUCGAGACGAAGGAAAAAAAGAAAGAAAGAAAGAAGUGGCCAUACGAGACACUGACGAGACGACACUGACUCGGGACGAUCUUGCGGUGACAGCAACGAGAAAGAGAAGGAGAACGGGUUCGCGCAUUACGGGUUUCUCGUAUAAUGUCACGGGACCCAUAUUCGAGCAGUGGCGUGGUAGGUCCCGGUGGUGGCACACGCUCACCACGCAGCGGUCGUCGUGUAGGCGAACUGCCGACCGUCGACCGUAGUCCAUCGCGUAGUUAUGCGAGCGGUCGUGGUAGUCCUCUUGGGGGUCGCAAGCAACGGGGUACACGCAGCGGCAACAACUCGCCUGAGCAUCUCGGCUUUGGCAGCUACCAUCACCAUCAGCUGGGCAGCCCGUACUACUCCCGCGACGAGGACCUCGGCAGUCCCGUGAUGCUCGAGGAGAGGGGUAGGAGUAUGUCGACCGGGGGCGGUGGGGGCGGACAUCACCGAUCCAGAAGCGCCUCGAGACCCGCCAUGUCCAGCUCGGCGGGCAUGGUAGCGCGUUACACCAGCCUCGACCGUGCUUCCGCCGGUGUACUCGAUCAUGAUCGCGAAUUCGUGCCGAUACGCGAGCCGAGCCGCGAGCGUAGUCGCGAUCGCGGCUUGUACCUCGAGGAUGAGCUCUACGGCUCCAGGUCGGCCCGCCAGAGCCCGAAUCCGCACAUGCUACGUGACAGCGGCGGUUACAUCGGCGAGCUUCAACAUCAGAAUAACGAUCUGCAACGGGAGCUUGGCAACCUGAAGAAGGAACUCGAGCUGACGAACCAGAAACUUGGCAGCUCGAUGCACAGCAUCAAGACGUUUUGGAGCCCGGAAUUGAAGAAGGAACGAGCGCUGCGCAAAGAGGAGAGCACCAAGUACAGUCUCAUCAACGAGCAACUCAAGCUGCUUAAUUCGGAAAAUCAGAAACAAAGCAUGAUGGUCCGUCAACUGGAAGAGGAGCUCAGAAUGAGAAUGCGCGGGCCGAACGUUGAGAUACAGCAGCAAAUGGAAGUUUUGUACAAUGAGAACGAGCAUCUGACUCGCGAAAUCGCCAUACUUCGUGAUACAAUAAAGGAAUUGGAAUUAAGAAUAGAAACGCAAAAACAAACGCUGCAAGCUCGCGAUGAGAGUAUCAAGAAGCUCCUCGAGAUGCUCCAGAACAAGGGGAUGGGAAAAGAGGAGGAAAGGAUCAUGUUCCAGCAAAUGCAGUCGAUGGCCCAGAAGCAGGUCGAGUACUCGCGGAUGAGACAACUGCAUUUUGCAUUCCAAACGCAAAAAUCCCAACAUGCAAGUCGAGUAUUGCUGGACGAGCUCCGGACGGAGGUACAGCGACGGGACCAAGAACUGCUGGCGAUGUCGGCCAAGAUGAAAACGCUGGAGGAGCAACAUCAAGAUUACCAGAGGCACAUCGCCGUGCUCAAGGAGUCUCUCUGCGCCAAGGAGGAACAUUAUAAUAUGCUGCAGGCCGAUGUCGAGGAGAUGCGACAGCGGCUCGAGGAGAAAAACCGGAUGAUUGAGAAGAAGACGCAGGCGGCGAUGCAGGCGCAACAGGAGCGCAAUCGCAUGAACACCGAGUUGACCGAGAUCAAGGAUCACAUGGACAUCAAGGAUCGCAAGAUCAACGUUCUGCAGCGCAAGAUCGAGAAUCUGGAGGACCUGCUGAAGGAGAAAGAUAAUCAGGUCGACAUGGCCAGGGCCAGGCUGACAGCGAUGCAGGCGCAUCAUUGCAGUAGCGAGGGUGCACUUAGCAGCCUCGAGGAGGCGAUCGGAGAUAAAGAGAAGCAAAUGGCACAAUUACGCGAGCAAAGAGACCGAGCCGAGCAGGAGAAGCAGGAAGAAAGGGAAUUGCAUGAAAGAGAGUUGGCCGAGUAUAAAAUGAAGAUACAUACUUUGGAGUCUGAGGUCGAGAAAUUGGGCGCGCGAUUAGAACGAGCACAGGCGGAAAAGGAUCGGCUGGAGGCGAAACUUGAAAGCUCGCAAUCCGAGCUAGGCAAGAGCAAGGCCGAGCUGGACAAGGCCGCGUCCGAGGUCGGACGCAGUGGCGCGGACUGGGAAGCUGCGAAGCAGCGGUUAGCCAGGCUGGAGCUCGAGAACGAGAGGCUGCGGCACGAUAUGGAACGAUCGCAGGGAUACGGCAGGGGCACGCUGAAUUCGUCCCAGGAAAUGGAACGCAUUCAAGAACGGGCCGACAAAGCGGCCGCCGAAUUAAGGAGAGCUCAGGCGGAGCUGAGGGUAACGCAAGCGGACAACGAGAGAGCGCGUGCCGAGGCCGCGACCUUGCAAGAGAAGGUGGAGAAAAGUCAGGGCGAGGUGUACAGGCUCAAAGCCAGGCUGGAGAACGCUCAAGGGGAACAAGAGAGUCUACGGGAAGAAUACGAUCGAGCACAAGCGUCCGUGGCUCGUCUUCACGCCGAAAGAGAUAAGGCGAUCGCUGAGCUCGAAAAAUCACAAGAGGAGCUCGAACGUACGCAGGCUACUCUAGGCAAGGCACAACUUCAGCAGGACAAGUUACAGAAUCUUUUGGAUAAGACGCAGAGCGAGGUUGAUACGCUGCAGGAAAAACUCGAUAAGACGCAAACGGAAAUUCGUAGAAUGCAAAUGGAGAGAGAGAAACAGAAUUACGACUUCGAGAAUCUACAGAGUCAACUUGACAAGGCGUUAGGACAGUCGACGAGAAUGCAAAAAGAGCGAGAGGCAAUUCAACUCGAGGUCGAUCGACUACAAGACAAAUACGAGAAGGCUCAAGUCAUAAUGCAACGACUGCAGAAGGAGAGGGACAGCUUCCAAGAGGAAAUGGAGAAGAUGCACGAGAGGAUAGAACUGCAGCAGAAUCAGAUUGGCAAGAUGCAACGUGAAAAGGAAAACAUACUGUCGGAACUCGAUCUGGUCAAGGAGAGAUGGGAGAAGGCGCACAACACUCAUCAAAAAUUGACGUUGGAGCGAGAUGACGCUUUGACUGAAAUCCAGAUCUUGAAGGAGAAACUGGAGAAGGCUCAAUACUCUCUGAAUAAAGCUCACGAGGAACGGGAGAACACCACAAAGGAAUUCGAGAAGAUGCUGGAGAAAUAUGAUAGGGGGCAGAGCGAGGUGUACCGUCUGCAGAACCGCAUCGACGUGAUGGAGGCGGACAAGGACCGGCUGGAGCUGGAGGCGGAGAAGCAGCAGAUGCUGGCGGCCAAAUCGCGCGAGGAGGCGCGCAAGGCUCAGGAGGAACUGGCCCGGGUGCAGGAGAUGUACGACCGCGCGGCUCUGCAGCUCGGCCGUACCAAGGAGCACGAGGAGAAGUCGAAGGAGACCAUCGAUCGGCUCAGCGUCGAUCUGGAGAUGGUGCGCGAGCGUUACGAGAAGUCGCAGAUCGAGCUACGGCGCUUGCAGAACGAGCGUGAAAAGGUGGUGGCUGACAACGAGCGUCUCAGCUUCGAGCUGGAGCGCGCUCAUUCGCAGCUCAACAAGGCGCAGGCGGCCACGGAGAAGACGCAGGAGGAGCUCGCGCGUAUGCAGCUAGAGAUCGAGAAGAUGUACGAGAAGCACGAUCGUCAGCAGGCCGAGGUGAGAAAGGCGCAGGCCGAGGCGGAACGGCUGCGCGCCGAAGCGGAGAGCGCUCGCGAGGAAUGCGAGAGAUACGCGACCCGUUUCGGCAAGUACCAGGAGAGCCAGGAGCGGCAGAAGGAAGAGCACGAGUGGGCGAAGCUGGAGGUGGAACGACUACGUGACCGUCUGGAGAAGGCGCUGGCGGAACUCGAGCGCGCACGGAAAGCUGAACAGGACGCCUCGAGGCUGCGCGCCGAUCUGGAGCGUGCGGAGGGCGUACGAGGUAAAUACCAGUACGAGCAGGAAAAAUGGCAAAGCGAAGGUAAUAGGCUACAGCAGGAGGUGAAUAAGCUGCGCGAGCGGCUAGAAAGCCGCGAGGCCGAGCUAAAGAGGACACAGUCGAGCAAUGCCGAGCUCGAGACGAAGCUGCACGAGACGCAGCUUCAACUCGAGCGGGCGCGCGACGAAACUGGCAAGGCUUCGGCGCAGCAGGAGCGUAAUCGAUCGGAGAUUGAGCGCGCGAGGAUCGAGGCUGAGAAGAUUCGUGAUCGGCACGAUAAGAUAAAGUCGCGGGCGGAGGCUCUCGAAGCAGACAACGAGAAGCUGCGCGUUGAGAUUAUACGGCUGGAGCGACUGAUGCAGACCGAAGGUAAGACGAGAUCGGAGAGCGCUAGCAUUGAGGUAGAACGCCUGCGCGCCAGCCUGGACAAGGCUAUCGUGGCACGCGAUCAAGUCGAGCUAGAGGCUGGUAGACUAGCCAAGGAACUUGAAAAGGCGCAUCUACAGACCACCAAGUAUCAGGAAGCUGCCGAAGCUACCAAGAAAGAGCUCGAACGUCUUGCCGCGGACGUUCAGCUGCUGCGAGAGGAACGCGAGGCGUUACGCCAAGAGCUGCGUCGCGUGCAACAACAGCAGCAGCAGCAACAACAGCAACAGCAGCUUGCCGGAAACGAAGAGCUCGCCCGACUUCAGUACGAACUACAAUUGGCGCAGCGCGAGCGCGACAAGAUGGCAGCGAUCCUGGAGAACCGGGAGAAGCAUUCGGAAAAGUUGAAGGAGAAGCUAGAAGCGGACGCGAAGCAGCUGCAGGUUGAGCGCGAUCAGUUGGUGAUACAACUAGAAAAGUCGCAGGAGAUGUUGGUGAACUUCCAGCAGGAAUUGAGCGCGAACGAGGCCGAGCUCGAGCGUCAGCGCGAGGAAGCCCGUCGUCUUCAGCAGCGGGCCCAAGCGCAGACGCCCGAUCGCGCUGCCAAGGAGGCGCUCGAUGCACAGAUGCGCGAGGUACAACGACUGCAGCAACAAGUGCAGAACCUUCAACAGGCGCAGCAGAAGGAACGACAACGUGCCGAGCAGGCGGAGAAGCGAGUACAGGAGCUGCAGAAGCAGUUGACGUCGCGCGGCGAGACGACGCAGUCCGACGUGGCCCAGCUUGAACAGUGGCGGAAACUCUGCGAGACUGAACGACAGCGAGCGGACACGGCUGAGCGCGAGGCCAGCGAGCUGCAGAAGCGGAUACAGACGACGGAGCGACAGCUGCACGCGCAUCAGCAGCAGAUCCAACAGAUGCAGGUCACCAUGCAACAACAGCAGCAGCAGCUCCAACAGCAGCAGCAGCAGCAGCAGCCUUCGCAACAGAACGGCCAGGAGAUUGCCAGGCUGAAGAAGGAGCUGGAUCGCGCGCGCGAGGAGAUUAAGCAGGCGACAGUGGAACGCGAGCGGUUCCAGGCGCAGCUCGAGAUGCUGUGUCAGGAACUGGAGAAGAAUCAGGUGGACUUGCACGAGGCGAACAAGAAACUCCAAGCUGGCGCCGCGAAAGCUGGCGCCGAUACAGUCCAAGAGAGGAAACAGCUGGAGGAACAAAGACGACAAUUGGAAGAGCAGAGAAGACAGACAGAGGAACGGGCGAAGUCCAUAGAUCAGAAAGCUAGAACGAUAGAGGAAAAGGAGAGGAUGCUCCAAAAUCUCGACCAGGAUCUGAAGAAGAGAAAGGCGAGAAUGGACCAACUGGAGCAGCAACUACAGAAGAGUGGUGGAGCGCCAGACAAGAGAUUAGCGGAAAUGCAAAAGGCUCUCGAAGCUGCCGAGAGGGAAUUGGAAAAAGCGAAGGAAGAAUCGAGCAGAAGCUCUGCCGAAACCGAAAGGCUACUGCAGCUCGUGCAGAUGACUCAGGAGGAACAAAACUCCAAGGAGAAACAGAUCAGAGAACUUCAAGAUGCACUCAAAACCGCACAAGCCAAGUUGAAACAAGCUACAACUGCACAGCAAGAGUCCCAGAGUAACAAGGAUGAGUCCUACACUUGGCAAGAAGCACUAGAGACGAAGAAUCAUACCAUAUCCAAACUAGAAAAGAAAAUAAAGAGCCUCCAGCAGGAUUACGACAGGUGUAAGGAUUUGUUGAAUGACUCAAGCGAUAAUGAAUCCUGGAAAAAAGAGGUAGAGGAGAAGAAUCAACGUAUUGUCCAGCUGGAACAGCAAUUGGAACGCUGCGAAAACCUAAAGGACGACAAAACGAGCAAAAACGUCGAGACGCAGACGGAAACGUACAAGAAUUUUUGUAAUCCGGAUACGAAGAAUCGACGAAUCAUUGCGCUGAAGCGGCAGGUGAUAGCCUUGAGUAAUUCUUUGAAAAAUCACGCGAGGAAAACGACAGAAUCUUUUGAGAAGGAUAACGAUAGUAAGAUGAACGAGAAAACCGAAGAGACCUGGAAGCAGGAAAUAGAGAUGAAGAAUCGACGCAUCGUCGAACUGGAACAGGAAAUGACAUUGCUGGAAAAUCUACUGCGGGAGAACGUGGACGUACAGAUAUUGCGUGAUCUCGAAAAAAUAAUGGACGGAAAAUCCAGAUUGAUCGAGGAGUUAGAGGAUGCCGUAAAGGAGCUCGAGGGCUUUCUCAAGGAGGACGUAAAAGAAAUGCGCGAUCUGCGUUAUCAAAUAUCGCUCGAUAAAGAGCAUAUCGUGGCGCUGGAAAGAUGUAUCCACAAAUACAGUCUCACAAAUGCGGGGAUCGACAAAACAAGGAUCAUAGAGCUAGAAGAGAUGGUUACGAGCUUGGAGAAUUAUGUUAGAGAGCAUGACAUCGAUGGUUUUAAGCGGAAGCUGCAGGAUCGGGAGUGCAGGAUCGAUCAGUUAGAAAACCAGAUCAUUGACCUGAAUAAGAAGCUGUCAAGAUUCGAGGAAAAUCAAUCAAACGGAAGUACAUCGAAAAAAAACAACAAUAAAAUGGCCUGGGAGCUGGAAGAAGAACAAAAAAUGAAAGAUAUAACGCAUAUUAUUUUUAAAGAAAAUAAAAAAAUCCAAGAAUGCGAGUUGCAGAUUGUCGAGCAGCAAGAUAAGAACCUAAAAAUAGAGCUGCGAGAGAAAGAGCAAAAGAUGAAAGAAAUGGAAUACGACAUUUCAGAGAAGGAUAACAAAAUACAGAAAUACGAGCAGCAGAUCGUCGAACAACAGAACAAGCUUCUGAAAAUGGAGAAAGAAAUGGCUGAGUUGGAAAAGGAGUUGUACAUGAUAGAAGACAUCGAUGCAUUAAAGGAGGCGAUUAGGAUGAAAAACGAGAGGGUACAAGAGCUGGAGAUGGAGGUCAAUUCUCUGGAGACUUCGCUUGGCGAAAGGAUCGACGUCGCAAUCGAAGAGCUGAUUGCGGUUCUAAAAGAAAAGGAGAAGAUAGAAGUUCGAUUGAAGGAAGAUCUCGCGAACAAAGAGCGCAAAAUAGAAGAAUUGGAUACGGCUCUUCGUCAGAGUAUUACAAUUACGGACGAGACGGAGAGAAAAUUCAAAUACGAAAAGAAGCUUAGGAAGGAGGCAGAUCAAAGAAUCGCCGAUUUGGAGAAGAAGAUCGCAGUUAUGCAUGCUGCCUCAGCCGUGAAAUGCAUCACGUGUAAACCGCUUCUUUACAAAAUAUUUAAAACCGAAGAGAAACUUCUCCAAUCGAACCAGGAAAAGACCGAUCAGCUGCAAGAGCUGCAUCAGACAAAGUGCGUUUUUCAAGUUAAUUCAGGUCAACAGUCUGAUCUCGACAGAGAUCGCGAAGCUUUAAAACUUGCCCUUUCCGAAAAAGACGCUCAUUUAGCUCUGCUGGAACAUUCAGGUAUUAAAACUCUGACGCAAGCGGAUCAGGCAAAUAAACUAAAAGCUGAUAAGAAGAUACUACUCGAUAAACUAAGAGAGGAGGAUGAAAAAAGUAUCAAUUCGGAUUUGAAAUUAGAAACAGUACCGCAAUUAAUUGAGAAAAUUUCCGAUGACAACGAUAACAAUAAUAAUAAUUCCUUUGAUCGUCUCAGCAAGAUCAAUUUAUCCAGCCCAACUACUAUGAAUGGCGACAGCUCGUCGAUAUCAGCUACUGCGAGUUGCGAGCAUUCAACAAAGACAUCGAUGGUUUUCAAUAUAAGAGACGAAGAAGAUAACUCGCAAGUUCAUCAACAGGAUGCCAGAUAAGUACUCGAGGUUUUUUCUACGGUAUUUCCAAGUAUCAGUUUCUUCGUUACCUCAAUGUUGUCAUACGCACACACAUUCGCAAACGUAGAGACAGUCUAUAGAGCAUCCUUAGAAAUAUAGUGGAAAAGAAACCGAAACGAACAACAACUAUACACCAACAAAACUACAAUAUACCAUCUAUGAUAACAACUACAGCAACAACCAACACGCCUGCCUGUACUGUCGCUCAUUACUCAUCAUCAUCAUCAUCAUCUUCUUUGUCAUCAUUCAUCAUUAAUCGAUAUUUCAUCGUCCACGUAGCACAUUGUGCUUGAAGGAAUUAGCAAGAUCAAGAAGCCGGAAGCUUCUUCAAACUGCUGAUAUUUAUCAUGGAUACAUAAAAGGAUUCGCUGGAACAGAUACAGUAUUUACAUACUCAUCGGCAUCAGUUUAUAAAUAAAAUUACAUAUUUCGUUUAAUUAUUUUGAUCCUAACAAAAAUUAUAAGAAAAAGUUAAUAAGAAUUUAUAUCAUUCCUAAUUAGAAAUUAGCUCCAUUUUUACUUCAUAUUCUUUUCAGUUUUAUUUAUUUAUUUUAAUUUUCUAGAGAAUUAAUUAGAAAGUAUAUAAUUAAUUUUAGAAUCAUUCCUAAUUCGAGAUUUUGAAAAAUUAAUAUUUAAAAGAUUAAACAUUUUUUUAAAUAUAUUUUUGAAUACAUUUUCUAAAGUAUUACAUUAAAUUAUUCCAACCGUCAUCAAUCGCAAAAAAAUAAAAAUACACAAAAAGAUACGUCGCUGUAAAUAUUACAGCAAUUUGCAGGAUCGAAAUGUAUUUCGCAAGAAAAGAUUGCAAGGAGCCAAGAGAACGUGGUCGAGGCACGAGACUAAAAAGUCUGUUGUAAAUAAUACUAAUGUUUCUCCUUUCAUGUGUGCGAUGAUUGUCCUGAUCGUCAAGAACUAUUCCUCUUGAAUUCCCAUUUAAAGAUUUAUAUCCGCUCCCAGAAUACACUGCUGUAGCAUAGGUACCUCAUGUACAUGCAUAUCUGAUUGAACGAAAUUUGCUUGUACUUGAGAUUGUUCGAAUAUUCAAAAGUGUACGAUUACUAUAUGCAUAUGUGUGUAUCGUACGAGGAUAACAGAUCGUAAUAAGAUAUCGCAGAAAAAAAUUGAUCGUCUACAUCUCGAUCUUAAAUGAAUAGAUUCUUAAAUAGAUAAUCUGUUAAAAAAAGUGUUAAUAGAAACUUGUGAUGGUGUAAAUUAUUUAAUGAUAAGCGUUGCUCCUUUUACAUUAAAUUUAAAGCAAGAUAUGACAUCAUAGAUCGUAUAUAUAUCUACGACAAAAUGCAUUUAAGAAGUAAUGAUGUGGUAUCGAUCGCUUAUGAAUUUGAUGACAUAACAUGCAGAAUGCGAUAUUUUAUUACAUUUUCUUUUUUCUCUUUAUGCGGGUAAUCAAUUGAUUACCGUCAAAACUUGAUACAUACAAAUGAGAUGUUUUAAAGAACUAGAAAUGUUUGAAGACAAGUUGGCGAGCGAUCUGAAUAGAUACAACAUUUUCGAGUAUUGAAUAAAUAAUUGCUUUUUUGCGGAAACUCGAACGCGAUAUCGCAAAAUAGGAACGAUUAAAAACGGAGUAAAAUUCCGUUGAAUGACACGUUCCAUGAUCGUUCGAUUUCGCUAAUAUCGUCGCGUCUGCCAUUGCGGUGAGUUAAUUACGAAAUGUUGAAAGUGUAAAAUUUUAUCGUUAAUACUUGAGGAUACCUCUUGUGUGAAUUCCGCGAAUAUACGACAGCACUUCUCUCGUUGCUAGUUUACCCAUUUCCUGUUCAUUAGUUUAAUUCCUCUGUGCAUCUCGACGAAAUGUCUACGAACCACUAGAUCCAAAAAAAAGACUUAUUAACUCGACUUUAAUAUAUAUUUAAACGUUAGGGCAUCUAUAAGCUGGAAUCAAAGUGCGUGUUGUGCACGACAUAGAUAUUUAUUGAAGCAAAGUGUCGCGAGCUAUAAAAUGUACUUAAAAAAUCGUAUAAAAAUGUAUUAUUAUUCUUUUAUUUUAUCAAUAUUUCUUGAAUGAAUAACUAUAUAUAAAAAUAUUUAUUAAUUUUUCAUCAUUUUUACGCAAUUAAAUAUUUCAUUCAUAAAAUAUAAUGCUUAAUUUUUCUAAAAAAAUUUAAUUUAAAAUAAAUAUUUAUAUAUUUAUUAUAUACUUGGCGAUACUUGGCUGCAAUUUAUGUCCAAGGGAUGGCAUACGUCGCCGCGAUUGAAAUAACUUCCUCUCUUACUUCUGACCUCUAAUCUCAAAUAGAUACACGUACAGAUGAAAUAAUCUCUAUAUCACUAGAGCAAUGAGGAAAGUAAAGUAAGAACCUCGUGAAAGAAAUAUAUUUAUGUUAAAUUUGUGAAUAUUCUACAAAAGAAUCAAAUAUACAGACAAUCUAAUAAUUGACAUAUUAAUAAUUGUUUGGACCAUCUAAAUAUUAUUUAUCUGAAAUUUUUUAUAUUUUUAUAAAAAUGUUAGAAAUAGUAAAAUUUUAUUAGCGACAUGCAAGAUAUUAUUAAACAGUUAAUUUUUACAAAAAAUAGCGCUAUUUAAUUAUUGCCACCUCAAACUGUUUACAUUUUGUAAUUUUUUAAUUGAAUUGCGAUUAUUGCUGAGAAGAGAACGUAAUAUGAUUGUUAAAUAUCUUCUUUGUAUCAAGUGAAUCGAGAGAUCGAAGGUGAGGUGGAGAGGAAGAAAGAUGGGAGAAAAAUAAAAAGAAACAAUUAGUUAAUGUGUGCCACCGUCAUAUCAAGCCUAUAUCAUCGUGUUACAUCAUAUAUAGCUAACUAAGCAGAAAAAUUAAUAUUAUCGUUAAUUGACACAAUUGUUAACACGGAGUGAAUGUUUGAUGCAUGAAUGUGUUACGCGCACCUAAUAAAAAUUUCAAUUUAAAAAAAGAAAUUAAGAAUUCUUUCUUAAAACGUGAAAUUUUUUUAUUCUUGGAAAUUGCAAUAAUUCAAAUAUUUAUAUUUUAUUUUUAUGAUAGUGUAUAUCGGAUAUUUCUCAAAUUUUCAAGUUUUAUUUAAUUUUGAUUAAUGUUGCGUGUGAAUAUUGAAUUUAAGGUAUUCAUUCUUUAAUAUAGAUGUAGACAUUAAUAUAAACAUAAUAAUCUAAAUUUUGCGAUUUUUAUUUGCAAAAAAUCAUGAUAAAUGCGUGGAUAUAUGCACGAACGAAAGAAUGACAGACACAGACAAAGUAUCGGAUCGAAUUUCUUGUUGACUUAUUAGAUUCUAUACUAACGUAAUAUAAUAUAAUAGUAAUGUAUUAUCCGAUCACAUACACACUCCACGAGUUUUUUUCGAUGUCAUAGAAUCAAUGUCGUCCGCAUCCGAAGGAUGAAAAUGGCUCGGGUGAGAGAACGAACGAGAGGGAGGAUGCGAUUGAUUUUUGCAACAGAUCGCGCCUAAAAUCGUUAGAAGCGUAAUAAUCGAUAGUAUUAUAAGCACCCAUUAAACUUUAGGCCGAUUUUACUUUUACAAUCGUCGUCACUUGAUCCUCUCGUCCACAAUCUAGAAACAUCGCACUGUCAUUUCCGUCAACGAAUUAUAUCCUUAAAUAAAAUGUGAAUUGUUCGGACAAACAUCAUUAAUUACUUACUUUCUUUAAAUGCUCUCUCAUUUCUAAAAUCGUUUUUCAAAAUCACUCGAAAAUACUAGAACCGCAUAAAUUAUGAUAAAUCUUUCGCUGUGUAAAUCAUCCAUCGGCUAUUAUCCAAGUCCUCCUCCCGUCGAAUCUCACCGUUUGGCACUCAAAGUAAUCCUAAAGCGAGACUGCAGAGUGAGACGAGAGUGAGAGGUUGAGUGAAAGAAAAGCGGUCCUGAAAUUAUUUUUUUCUCGUGAUUAUGUAUCGUGUCCGCGAUAAGAAAAUACCAAAAAAAGCACGAUUUUUAUGUGAAUAUUGUAAAGAAAACCGUACCGACGUAAUCGCAAUCCUUAUUGGAUGCUGUUUCAAGAUAAAAAAAAAAUAAGACUCUAAACACAUCAUGCUUUAAUAGAAAUCGAGAUUUUGUGAGAUAAAUCAAAAGAUAAUUAUCAAAUAUUAAAAUAUUUAAUUUUUUUUUAAAUCGACUAUAACAAAUAUCGAAGCUUUUUAUCUUUAUUAUCACUUUUCUCCAUUAUGCUGAUAAUCGGUGAAUUAAAAAAAAAAUUUCCUCACUGAGAAGAAUGGAUCAGCAUCUAAUGCAUCUAAUAAGAUUCGAUAUCGGUACGACCAAACCACUCCUUUUCUAUUCUCCAAUUUCUACGUGUUUAAUCGCUAAGUAAACAAUUGAUAACAAAUUUAACGGAGAAGAAACGCACGAGGGAGAACGCUUUGAUUAAAUUAUUGUGUAAUGUUUAUCGUUAAUAAUCUCGGAAAAAAGUCGACGCAAUACAACUUUUGAUCGCGUGUAUAUAUCUAAGAUGAUAAUAAUAUGCGACAACGCGGAAGUAUAAUGUCGCGAAAGUGUGUAAUAAAAGUGUGCAUUGAGCAGAGAGUGAAAGAGAGGGAGAGAACGUGGGAAAAAAAGCAAGAAUACGAAUGAGAUAGAUUCUGUUUUGUCUAGAGCGAGAAUCCUUGCGACGCCAAUUAAUUAACCGUCGCGUAUAUGGAGCGAGUGUUGCGCUUAAUCCGCCGAAAAUCGCCGAAAAUCGCUCCAAGAAAUUGUUCUCACGUUCAUUUUUUAUGAUUUUAUCUCGCGCUUCGGUGAUUUUCGGUCACGGGCAAUAGAGUUCAUGAUUAUAAACGAGAGAGAGAGAGAGAGAAAGAUAUUGGCAAAUUAUGGUGAAGAGUGCGACGAACCUAAAAAUAAGAUUUAUCGAAGUAAGUUAUAAGAAAUAAGCUAAUUAAAGUAACAGUUUAUUAAAGUACAUUGUUGCAACUGCCAUGCUGUGUGCCAUUAUAUAACGAGUCACGUUUGUCGUAAAAAGUAAAAAGAAACAAAAAAAAAGAAGAUUAAUGAAGCGAAAUAAUUGUGUGCGCAUUUUCGUCUGAAAUUUUUUAGUUAUACCGCUUCAAAAUCGCUGGAUUUACACCGUUGUCCUCGCCUUAAAUUCCUCUUGAUAUAAUGCAACAUUUAUCAUAUAAUUUAUCGAAAUGACAAUUUUAGUAAAUAAUAAAUCCAGAAAAAAAAGUGAUAGAGUUUAUAUAUGUUAUAUAUAUUAGUAAAACGUAACGAAGAAAAAUGUACCUUUUUUAAAUACAUACUAUAUAUAUAUAUAAAACAUAGAUAAUUUACGGAUAAAAUUCAUCACACUCACUGGAAAGUCGAAGGACAACGGAGUAAAUUUCUGGCAGUAGAUAUCGCGAACGAAUUCGCUCGAGCUCGCGAUAUUCAUUGUGCAUUUGCUUGCGCGGAUCGACGUGCACAUUAAAUAGCGUGAUACAACCGAGGCGCAUUGUAAUUAAUAAAUAUCGUAAUUAAUGUACGUCAAUAAUGCGCAAGCACGUGCACGAUGCGCUUCGUAUUUUUGCGUUCUUCUUCACGGUCUAUGAAUGAAAGAAGUCCUAAAAAAAAUGAAAUUCAAGACGGAGUUUGGUGCGACGAUCCGUUUCUACGACGGCGAAACGAUUGUCGAAAAAGACAAGAAUUUUGUUUUAAAAAAUGCAUUCUGCGAAUAUCCUCCUCGGUACUUCGAUUGACGUGGCGAUUACGAUAAAUCGUUGAAUCGCAUAUUUUCUUGUAUAGAUAUAAAUAUAUUAUAUACGUACAUAUAUACAUAUAAUAUCUGUUAACACUAAUAAUUUAUUGCGCGCUAUAGAAAGAGUCGUUUUGUUAUUGCAUAUAGUGUUGUGUAGAAAAUUUAUCGAUGUUGUUAUUAUAAUAGUUGUAUUCUUUUGAUAAUCGAUAGUUUUAUGUAAUUGCCUCGUCUGUCGUUUUUAACAUAAAAUUCGCAGCAGAUACUGAGUAGUGUUAUUAUAUCUUAUGAUGUAAGUAAAUACCGAUGAGAUGCUCCUUUAAUUUUUAUAACUCGUUUCUUUUUUGUCAAAUUAUUUCACGCUUUGACCAAGUUAAAAAUAUAAAAACAUAUUUUGUGUUUGGUACAUUUUUAUGAAUAGUGGCAAUUCGUCACGUAGCAACGGAUCACCGUAACAGCACGAAACGUUCGUGUAACGCGAUGUCUUACAAUAGCGAGUAUAAUCCUCUCGCUCUUAGUUGGCGAUAAAAUGGUUUGAGGCAAAAAAAAAAGAAGGAUUACUAAGUAACUAUGCAAGUAAACCAAAUGAGAUGACGUCGACCCAUUAUAGAUUCAAGCACAAUAAGGACUAGUAGGGCCAGGCACAAUAAAAUUCGGCCGUCACGUUGUAGGCAGCGAUCUGUUAGAGCGGACAAGUGGUAUAUAUAAGUAUCUAUAUAUAGCAAAACUAUUAAAUAAACACAUAUUGUCUAUUGUC